rnacentral:rRNA from 1 species
UACGUAGGCAGCAAGCGUUGUUCGGAGUUACUGGGCGUAAAGGGUGCGUAGGCGGCUUUUUAAGUUUGGUGUGAAAUCUCCCGGCUCAACUGGGAGGGUGCGCCGAAUACUGAGAGGCUAGAGUGUGGGAGAGGAAAGUGGAAUUCCUGGUGUGAGCGGUGAAAUGCGUAGAUAUCAGGAGGAACACCGGUGGUGUAAACGGCUUUCUGGACCAUAAACUGACGCUGAUGCACGAAAGCGUGGGUAGCAAACAGG